rnacentral:rRNA from 1 species
UCAGUGAACACGUAGUCAACAUGCCCAGAGGACGUGGAUAACCUCGGGAAACUGAGGAUAAACCGCGAUAGGUCAUAAUUACUGGAAUGUGUUAUGGCCCAAAUCUAUAUGGCCUCUGGAUUGGACUGCGGCCGAUCAGGCUGUUGGUGAGGUAAUGGCCCACCAAACCUUUUACCGGUACGGGCUCUGAGAGGAGGAGCCCGGAGAUGGGCACUGAGACAAGGGCCCAGGCCCUAUGGGGCGCAGCAGGCGCGAAACCUCUGCAAUAGGCGAAAGCCUGACAGGGUUUACUCUGAGUGAUUCCCGCUAAGGGAAUCUUUUGGCACCUUUAAAAAUGGUGCAAGAAUAAGGGGUGGGCAAAGUCUGGUGCCAGC